UACGAGGGGGGCAAGCGUUGUUCGGAAUUAUUGGGCGUAAAGGGUGCGUAGGCGGUUUUGUAAGUCUUGUGUGAAAUCUUCAGGCUCAACUUGAAGACUGCACGAGAAACUGCAGGGCUUGAGUGUGGGAGAGGUGAGUGGAAUUCCUGGUGUAGCGGUGAAAUGCGCAGAUAUCAGGAAGAACACCCGUGGCGAAGGCGGCUCUCUGGGACGGUACUGACGCUGAGACGCGAAAGCGUGGGGAGCGAACAGG
rnacentral:rRNA from 1 species